rnacentral:rRNA from 1 species
UACGGGGGGGGCAAGCGUUGUUCGGAAUUACUGGGCGUAAAGGGCUUGUAGGCGGCCAACUAAGUCCGACGUGAAAUCCCCAGGCUUAACCUGGGAACUGCGUCGGAUACUGGAUGGCUUGAAUUCGGGAGAGGGAUGCAGAAUUCCAGGUGUAGCGGUGAAAUGCGUAGAUAUCUGGAGGAAUACCGGUGGCGAAGGCGGCAUCCUGGACCGACAUUGACGCUGAGGAGCGAAAGCGUGGGGAGCGAACAGG